GUUGUCAGCCAUGCUCUCAUGAGUAUAUAAGUGGUGGGGCAUCGCCAGUCAGUCAAUGAGAUAAGAGAAUGAAGUGAAAAAACAAAAGAUGCCCCUGAAGAAGCAUCAUAUAAGAAGCAAAAAGCUCAGUUGCAAUCUAGCUUGCAGCAAAGAAUAAUUUGGCUCGUCAGAUAAGUUGUUCACUGAACAUAAAGGUAAUUUCCUCAGUUUGGUAGCGCUCCUUGGGGAAUAUGAUGAUGUCAUGCCUGAACACCUAUGUUGAAUAGUUUGUCCAGAAGCUGUGGACCAUUACUGCAGCAAAACAAUUCAAAAUGAAUUGACUGACCUUGUGGCAUGGAAGGUGCUUGAUAAAGUGAUGCGGCUUGGCAAAGUGAAGUACUAUGCCGAAAUAAUGGACUGCACUCCCGGCAUUAGUCACAGUGAGAAGAUGUCAUUUACAAUAAGAUUUGUUGAUGAGCAUGGUUGUAUCCAAGUAAAGGAACACUUUAUCUAUUUCCAGUCUGUGGACGACUGUACUGGAAGAGGCCUAACAGAACUGUUUAUGAACAUUUUGAAUGAGAAUAAAAUAAAGCUUCAGGACUGCCACGGCCAAGGCUACAACAACAGUGUGAACACGAAGGGAAGAAACAGUGGUGUACAGGCAAGGAUCCUUGUGCUGAAUUCAAAAACUUUCUUCAUGCUUUGUGGCUGCCAUUCCCUCAACCUGGUUGUGUCAAAUGCAAUGUCAUCAUCUUUAGAUUCAGUAUCUCUCUUCAGAGUACUGCAAAGGAUAUAAGUCCUGUUUUCAGCAUCAACUAUCAGGCGGAAGAGCCUCACGGACAAUGUUACAAAUCUGACCGUGAAGCUGCUAAGUGACAGUUGCCGGGAGAACGACAUUGACAGUGUAAGGACAGUGAGGUACCAAGUGACUGAGGGAUAAGACACUCUGAUGGAACUAGUACAGUUGAGUAAAGCCGAGGCUGGAAUCCGACAGGAAGAGCAAAGCCUGAGAAACCAGAUCACUGACUUUAAAUUUCUGGUCUCAAUUGUUGUUUGGCAUUAUAUGCUGUUCCAAGUAACCGUUGUAAGCAAGACAUUACAAACUCAGUCAAUGGACAUCACAACCGCUACUACUUUAAUGAGAAGCUGCCUUGAUUUUAUUGUGGCCUACAGAGACAAUGGAUUUGAAGAUGCCAUCACCGCGGUCAAAGAAUUGGCAGAAAACUACUGUAACACUGUUUCAUGCUGGUCCACUCAAUGUUGGUGCACAGUUCAAUUUCUUGGUGUUAGUACAUUUCAAUUAUUCUUAAAACUAAAAAAGUUGCUAUAAGCCUACAGUAAAUACAUUUUUAUUUACUUA